UUCCCCCGCCGAGCGGGACCUGCGCUGCUGCCGCCGCAUGAACCCUUCCCCACGCGCCGCCGAGCAGGACCUGCACAGCCGCCUCACGAGCCCUUCACGACACGCGAUAAGGUGUGGAUCGCGCCGCCCAGGGCCACGCCCGUGGAUCUAUGGUGCUCGUUGAUACGAGAGCGCCGGCCUUGGGAAGGGAAGAAGGGAGCUCGAGGAGGGAGAGGAGGGACGGGGCCGGCGGUGGGAUGCUGCAACCAGUGCGACGGGGAUGGAGCGAGGGAGCUUGGCCGGCGCGUGGGGAGAGAC
rnacentral:lncRNA from 1 species